rnacentral:rRNA from 1 species
UCUAGUGGCGGACGGGUGAGUAACGCGUGGGUAACCUGCCUUAUACAGGGGGAUAACAACCAGAAAUGGUUGCUAAUACCGCAUAAGCGCACAGGACCGCAUGGUCCGGUGUGAAAAACUCCGGUGGUAUAAGAUGGACCCGCGUUGGAUUAGCUAGUUGGCAGGGCAACGGCCUACCAAGGCGACGAUCCAUAGCCGGCCUGAGAGGGUGAACGGCCACAUUGGGACUGAGACACGGCCCAGACUCCUACGGGAGGCAGCAUG